rnacentral:lncRNA from 1 species
AUGUCAAAGAAUCAUCUAUAUCUUGCUAUUGGAAUCAUAUCAGUCUUUUAUAACACCCCUUACAAGCAUAGCAGAGAAAGAAUCCUUAAAGGAGGAUUAUAAUACUUUUAAUUCUUCCUUCCAAUUAUAUAAUGCUCAUUCUUUUUCACAAAAAUAUCAAAAACAACACUUUGUGAUGUUGUUGCCUAGCUUGGGCAAUGAACAACACAAAGUGAAAAAAAAUAUUUUUGAAAGGGGCCUUAUGUUUUUCUUUAAAAAGAAUUUUUAAGAUAAAUGGCCUUAUUUUUGUUUAGUUUUCUUUUGUUUUAAUUUUCUUUUAAAAAAUAAUUAUCUCAUGUUUGUUUGAUGUUUAUUGUAGAUUGACAUUUGAAGGAGGAAAACAUCAAAUAAACAAAGGCUGUUGUCAUUGAGCAUCAUUCAGAUCUGAGGACAAAUCCUUUUCAAGAGGGAGGGGACGAUGGAAACCAUCCAGCCUCGAAACUUUCGGCCAAGAAGAUAGACAAAGAUCGAG